rnacentral:misc_RNA from 1 species
UCCGAGUUGACCCCGGCAGUCUCCCAUGAGUCCCCAACAUUACUUGCUGGCAACAUGGAACGAGGGUUGCGCUCGUUGCGGGACUUAACCCAACAUCUCACGACACGAGCUGACGACAGCCAUGCACCACCUGCACACCAACCACAAGGGAAGCCCUAUCUCUAGGGAUGUCUGGUGCAUGUCAAACCCAGGUAAGGUUCUUCGCGUUGCAUCGAAUUAAUCCACAUGCUCCGCCGCUUGUGCAGGCCCCCGUCAAUUUCUUUGAGUUUUAAUCUUGCGACCGUACUCCCCAGGCGGCAUAUUUAUCGCGUUAGCUUCUCCGCACAGAGGGUCGAUACUCCAUACGAAUAAUAUGCAUCGUUUACGGCUGGGACUAC